AUUAGCCUACGGGGCGCAGCAGUGGGGAAUAUUGCACAAUGGGGGAAACCCUGAUGCAGCAACGCCGCGUGAGUGAAGAAGUAUUUCGGUAUGUAAAGCUCUAUCAGCAGGGAAGAAAAUGACAGUACCUGACUAAGAAGCCCCGGCUAACUACGUGCCAGCAGCCGCGGUAAUACGUAGGGGGCAAGCGUUAUCCGGAUUUACUGGGUGUAAAGGGAGCGUAGACGGCUGUG
rnacentral:rRNA from 1 species